UAUUUUAUCUAUAGUUUUACUACUAGUGUACUAUAAUAUUAAACGUACGAAUUGAACUGAUUUCUUACUUUAUAUCCAUGCGACUAGAUUAUAAAUAAAUACAUAUCGAUCGGUAUUGUACGGAUUGUAUCAUGUAUAUUUCUUCCUGGUUUAAUACAAGGAAAUACUUUAUUAAUUCCUGAUAUAAAUUUUCAGGAGUAUGGAUUAUCAGAAGAAGAGGCAGACAAACUAACACUUUGCUGUGUUAUAUAAAGAGCUGAUACAAAACUUAAACGUUUGAGUAACAUCAUGAGCACGUCUGGUGGUCGUGGGCGAAAUAAAGGCGUUAAUUCAGGCAGAAGUCCAGCACCGUCCAAGGCAAAGGUAUCUCGUGAAAGAGGCAUCCCACCAGAUAGCAAAAACCAAGGUGGAUCAGUUCAGUCAUUAACGGCAGCCUCAAAUGGUGACAAUGAUAUAAAAACGUGGCUGAAUGAGCUGAAACAGCAAAUUGAGAAAGAUGUAUAAAA